rfam:Heterocephalus glaber contig112732, whole genome shotgun sequence.
CUGGGGUACGGGGACAUGUACCCCAAGACAUGGUCGGGCAUGCUAGUGGGGGCGCUGUGUGCGCUGGCCGGGGUGCUCACCAUCGCCAUGCCUGUGCCAGUCAUUGUCAACAAC